rnacentral:rRNA from 1 species
GACGAACGCUGGCGGCGUGCUUAACACAUGCAAGUCGAACGGAAAGGCCCUGCUUUUGUGGGGUGCUCGAGUGGCGAACGGGUGAGUAACACGUGAGUAACCUGCCCUUGACUUUGGGAUAACUUCAGGAAACUGGGGCUAAUACCGGAUAGGAGCUCCUGCUGCAUGGUGGGGGUUGGAAAGUUUCGGCGGUUGGGGAUGGACUCGCGGCUUAUCAGCUUGUUGGUGGGGUAGUGGCUUACCAAGGCUUUGUCGGGUAGCCGGCCUGAGAGGGUGACCGGCCACAUUGGGACUGAGAUACGGCCCAGACUCCUACGGGAGGCAGCAGUGGGGAAUAUUGCACAAUGGGCGGAAGCCUGAUGCAGCAACGCCGCGUGCGGGAUGACGGCCUUCGGGUUGUAAACCGCUUUCGCCUGUGACGAAGCGUGAGUGACGGUAACGGGUAAAGAAGCACCGGCUAACUACGUG